GAGUUUGAUCCUGGCUCAGGAUGAACGCUGGCGGCGUGCCUAACACAUGCAAGUCGAACGAAGCUUGAGGAAUGAUUUCUUCGGAAUGAAUUCUGAUAUGACUUAGUGGCGGACGGGUGAGUAACACGUGAGCAACCUGCCUUUCAGAGGGGGAUAACGGCUGGAAACGGUCGCUAAUACCGCAUGAAAUGUUUGGAUGGCAUCAUCUGAACAUCAAAGAUUUAUCGCUGAAAGAUGGGCUCGCGUCUGAUUAGAUAGUUGGUGAGGUAACGGCUCACCAAGUCGACGAUCAGUAGCCGGACUGAGAGGUUGAACGGCCACAUUGGGACUGAGAUACGGCCCAGACUCCUACGGGAGGCAGCAGUGGGGAAUAUUGCACAAUGGGGGAAACCCUGAUGCAGCAACGCCGCGUGAAGGAAGACGGUUUUCGGAUUGUAAACUUCUUUUCUUUGUGAAGAAACAAAUGACCGUAGCAAAGGAAUAAGCAUCGGCUAACUACGUGCCAGCAGCCGCGGUAAUACGUAGGAUGCAAGCGUUAUCCGGAUUUACUGGGUGUAAAGGGAGCGCAGGCGGGACUUCAAGUUGGAUGUGAAAGGUCAAGGCUUAACCUUGGCACUGCAUCCAAAACUGUAGUUCUUGAGUGGAGUAGAGGUAAGCGGAAUUCCGAGUGUAGCGGUGAAAUGCGUAGA
rnacentral:rRNA from 1 species